ACCUCGUUAGCUCAGUCGGAACCCAGAGCGCCGGUUCGCGAGGCCGGAGGUCGCACGUUCGAAUCGUGCACGAGGUCCCA
rnacentral:tRNA from 1 species